UACGUAGGGUGCAAGCGUUGUCCGGAAUUAUUGGGCGUAAAGAGCUCGUAGGCGGUUUGUUGCGUCGGCUGUGAAAUCCCGAGGCUCAACCUCGGGUCUGCAGUCGAUACGAGCAAACUAGAGUGUUGCAGGGGAGACUGGAAUUCCUGGUGUAGCGGUGAAAUGCGCAGAUAUCAGGAGGAACACCGGUGGCGAAGGCGGGUCGCUGGGCAGCAACUGACGCUGAGGAGCGAAAGCGUGGGGAGCGAACAGG
rnacentral:rRNA from 1 species